UACGGAGGGGGCAAGCGUUAUUCGGAAUUAUUGGGCGUAAAGCGCGCGUAGGCGGCCGCUUAAGUCGGAUGUGAAAGCCCCUGGCUCAACUGGGGAAGUGCACCCGAAACUGAGUGGCUUGAGUACUAAAGAGGGUCGCGGAAUUCCCGGUGUAGAGGUGAAAUUCGUAGAUAUCGGGAGGAACACCGGUGGCGAAGGCGGCGACCUGGGUAGAUACUGACGCUGAGGCGCGAAAGCGUGGGGAGCAAACAGG
rnacentral:rRNA from 1 species